AUGACCAUCGUCAGUGUCCCAUUCCGGCUUCCUUCAUCUGUUAAUGUCAGCUCGGUGAAGUGGACCCAGGCACUCAAGCUGGACCAAGCCUGUCUUCACAGCCCCGGGCUCCGGGAACAACUCCCAUUCUCUCAGCCAGUGUGGUCCACUAGAGACACUGUGACUGCACAGCGCUGCCGAUUUUCCUGUGGUGAGAAACUGGACGAUGUGAGUUCUCCCUUUGGAGUGGCAGGCCCGUGGACAGGCCGAGUCUUAGAACAGUGUGGCAGUGUGGCAGUUGCUGUGGUCACUGUGUUUCUUCACAGCACAGAAACCCUCGCUAAGAUAUUAGCCACAGGAGGCGGGAGGAGUGGAGAUGGCGGCCGAGACUGCGGAGGUGGUGGUGGCAGCAGGGGCAGGGAGCCCAGGGGAACUGCUGGGCUCGUUUCGGUGGCCCCAGAGGAGGUGGAGGUGGUGAAGGCGCAGCCGCUCGACAUGGGCCCACGCUACACGUAGCUGCAGUACAUCAGCGAGGGCGUGUACGGCAUGGUCAACUCAGUUUAUGAUCACGUGCGCAAGACCAGAGUGGCCAUCAAGAUCAGCCCCUCUGAGCAUCAAACCUACUGUCAGCGCACACGGAGGGAGAUCCAGAUCUUGCUGCGAUUCCGCCAUGAGAAUGUCACAGGCAUCCGAGACAUCCUCAGAGCGCCCAUCCUGGAAGCCAUGAUAGACGCUUACACUGUCCAGGACCUCAUGGAGACAGACCUGUGCAAGCUGCUUAAGAGCCAGCCGCCGAGCACGCCGAGCAGUGACCACACCUGCUGCAUCCUCUCCCAGAUCCUCCGGGGCCUCAAAUACAUACCCGCAGCCAAAGUGCUGCACCAGGACCUGAACCCUCCUAUCUGCUUAUCAAUACCACCUGCGACCUUAAGAUGUGUGAUUUUGGCCGGGCCCGGAUUGCUGACCCUGAGCAUGGCCACACUGGCUUUCUGAUGGAGUACAUGGCCACGCACUGGUUCUGAGCCCCAGAGAUCAUGCUUAACUCCAAGGGCUAUCCCAAAUCCACUGACACCUGGCCUAUGGGCUGCAUUCUGUCCUCCCCAGCAAGCACUACCUGGACCGGCCCAACCACAUUCUAGUAUCCUGGGUUCCCCAUCCCAGGAGGACCUUAACUGUAUCAUUGAACUCUGCUCAACUCAGACCCCGGAAACCCAGGCUGGACCAAGGGUAUGCCUGGCCGCCUUCUCUCACUGUGCUGGUGUCUCCUGCUUCAAGCAGGCUUCUCCUACUCCAAUCCCCUGCCCGAUCUCCCCAUGGCCCCGUGAUGAGGUGGCCCCAGAGCUGAUCUCUGCUGCCGUGUCUUUAUCUACCCUUGCUAGCCUCGGCUGUGGUAGACCAUUUUGGAAUGGAGGGGCUAUGACCACUCUAGGACCUGUGCUACGGAGGGGUGGAGGGCCCUGA